rnacentral:lncRNA from 1 species
UUUCGAGCACCACACUCGAGGUAGGUGCGUUCAUUUUCUUCUUUUAGUUUGUGCUUUUGACUGAACGAGUGUUCAUGUGUGUGUGCGUGCAAGUUUAGGAGUUAAAGGACCACAGGGUGACCAAGAAGAGGCAACUGAGAGCCAAGCCGAGGCCGAAUCACCCCACGCUGAAAAAGUAAAGCUUUUUCUUAUUUUUCUGUUGUUGUUGAGUGGCAGCAGAGCGAGGAUGGUGUCGUGCUGGUUGCGUGAGCUCGGCCAUGCCACCCUCCUACGGGAGAACUGAGGAGGUUUCCUCAGAAAUGGGGAAAACCAACCCAUUCGGGAAGCUGAAGGGUCUUCCCCUAGCAUGGAAAACUGAUCCAUCAUUUUAGGAUUUUGAUUUGCUGUCCGAAAAACUGAAAAGUCUUUCUCGAAAAACAAAAAUCCGAUUUAUCGAAUGGGGAGCCAAAAGAUUUUUUGGAUACGGAUUCCGAUAAUUUUGGGUAUUUCGUUGAGUGGUCGUUGGAACCCAUAAUUUGAUUAAAUUAAUUUUUAGUAUUUCGAAGUAUUCUAAUUAAUUAAGUUGUGUGUAUAGAAAAAUUUACACAUUCAAGCGAUCCAGAAAGAGCGUAGGAGAAUAAGUAUUUCUAAAUAUCAAUCGGGUUAACUUUCAAAAUAUGCAUUAAUUUCAUAAAAGUAUGAAUUUUUAAAUUAAACGAAAAUUGGCCCAAUUUCGAUAGAAAAACAGAAUCCAAAUUAUGAUUAGUAGACCUAAGUAAUUGGAAUCCUAUGAGGAGAAGAAACUAGAAAACAGACCCAAUGGACUGAGAGUUAUUUGGAUUGAUGAAAUAUGAAAUUGAAAAGAAAAAUUCCCAAUUAAGAAAAAAUUGAAAAAGAAAAAAUAAAAUAAAAAUGUAAAAAUUGAAAAGAAAGAAAUAAUUGAGGCUAACAAAUGAUCAUUUAAACAAAUUAAGAAUUUUGGAAUGAGAGGGUAGGAGUGAAUAAGGUAGGGACCCCGAAUACCUUCUCGUUUAGUUUGAAUCGAGGAGGAGAGUGUGUGUGUAUAACUGAAGUUCAGCGGACAUGGUGAACCUGCACAUGGAUAGAGUCUGAAACCUAAUAUAGACGUGGAUAGACAUUCGUGUGAGUAUGGAUCACCUAGCAAAUGUACCUACUGUGACCAUUGUGUGAUAUGUGUGUAUGCUAUCCAUGCGAUGGGGGAUCCAUUUCGCCUUUCCUUGAUGAUGACUUAAACGACAUCGCGCGAUAAAACCAUAGAAAUGACAUUUCGAGUGUAUAUGUGAUCGUUUGUGUGUAUGUGAUUAUGUUUUGAGAUAAUAAAUGAUAUUCGAGUGUAUCUAUGAUUUUUAAGAGUAUAGGGAUAUAUUGUAACACCUAACAUUUAAUUAUUUUUAUUUUUAUUUAAUUAUUAUUAUUUAUAUAUAAAUAUGAUUAUUAUUUAUAUGAUUUUAUUUUAAUUUAAUUUAUUUUAAUUUGAUUUAAUGAAAAUAAUAAUAAUAAUAAUAAUAAUAAUAAUAAAAAGGGUAAAAAAAUU